CUUUCUUGAUGGCAUGAUUCGAUGCUACUAAUAUACUCAUGGACGCCGCCGCAAGAAGCUGCGGGCCCCGUGCUUGCAGCGACCGCGCUGAGUGCGAAACGAUGGUGCGGGGACGUGGCCUGCGGCGAGUACAACCGGGCCACUCACGACACGUACAAACAAGCGCGGCUCUUACUACGGACUCGCUUCUCCUCCUCAUGGCACUCUCACGCGGGCCCUCUAAGUGUGGUAGAUGGCAUCUGGAGCCACUGGCCCGUCGCGUGCGCCUCGCAUUUUAGUUUUAUCUGUGACCGUGGCGCGUCGGAAUAAAAGGACGAGGCGGACAGGCUUGCCGAACCGGCAGUGGCAAAGAAGCCGACGCCAACUUUAUGGACGGCGGACCUGUUCAUCGGUUGCACACGCUAGGCCGACAUGCCCUCGGUUACCCGCGCGGCAGACAUCACUGCUUCCGCCCUCGAGCAGGGCCUUGGACGCGGUCCGCAUCUAUCAGGGCAUGCUGUCGACCCAGGUCCAUGUGACGCCGAUGGUGCGGCACGUAUGCGAAGGGGGAAUGAAGAAGGACGGGAAGAGCCCACUAGCCGCUCGCUCCCGGUUCAACGGCAGGCCGGCUUGUCCGAGACGGCGCGGAUUCAGCCUUAUGCCUUGCGAAGGGUGGUGAGCUGCGGUUUCACGCAGAUAAUCGCCGAUGUGUGUGUGGAGGCGCGGAGCGCUGAAGAAACAGCGUCUGAUUACCAUCGCUGUCUCUCUCUCUCUCUAUUUGCUCUCCGUUCUCCCGCCCGCCAGCCGCUGUCUCUCUCAUUAUCCUUCCCUCCCCUCACCCUCCGCUCUUCACACGGUAAUUUCGCUCCGACGUGUGAGCGCUCGUGUACGAAUGGAUAUCGAAGGGUUGUUGCAAGUGGCCGUGUUUGUGUGUGUGUGUGCGCGCAGCGGAAGGCAGGGCGCUGACUUCGUCGGCACUGAUGUAUGCAUCUACUCGGCGUCUUUCUCGCCCUUUUCUGUAGUGCCGCGCACACUCUUGGCUGACGCUCGAGAUCUCUUUUUUUCCUCCGCUUUACCUCCUCAUGUGCUCUGCUCGUGUGUGUCGCGGUGCCUGCGCCGCCGCUUCGGAUUGUCGGUGCCCCUGCCCAAGUUCGCAUCGUUUGUGCCAUGGAGCCCUCCUGUGCAGCGAGCCGUGGGUACCUUGAGCGCGUUUCCGAGCGCCCUGUAGCGCUAUGAAAGCGUUGCCAACGUGGGCACGGCGCACGUGUAUCGAUGGUACCGACAGCCAUGAGGAGAGAGGCAGGGCUCAAGAAAAAAUGUGCGCACUCGAUCGAAACUGGCAACUUUCCUGCGUGGGGAGGCGUUCGAGAGCAGCCCGCGACGAAAGGACUGAACAACGUGAGGUGCCAGAACACCUCGUCGAGUGCUUGCAGGUGCUGUUCUCAUUUUUGUUCGUCUUUUCGUCUGCGCCGGCGCGUGGGUGGUGUGCACUUGAGGGGUGGUACCUGAGUGGUCGUGCAGGCCCCCUCCCCCUACACUCCACCACCACCAUCCUCAUCUCCAGUCUUCCAGCCUGCCUUUACGACUUUUUUCUUCAGAUACCUCACCUCCGCACCUUGGCCGGCCACGAUGAAUCUGUGCGCCUGUGUGUGUGGGUGAGGGUAGUGGGGUACAAGAGUCACAAUCUGAUGGCCGCUCGCCUGACGCACUCUCAUCCUUUCUACCCCUCACGGAAGCGCAGCAGUGAGCGGAAGUGGGAGGAGGAGCAAGUAAGGCAAGUCACCUACCUCUGCAUAUUGUUUCCAUGAUGUGUGGCGGAGGGAGGAGUGGCCGAGUAACGUGUGUAUACGCCCUCUCUGCUCCGGUCCCGUUUGCCCCUCGUUGCGGCCCCCCUCCCCGUACGUGUGCCUGCGUCUGUAUGAACGCGCGUCGGACCACCUACGCGUGUGGGCGGGGCGCGCAAAGAAGGUGCGCGAAAAGCCAACGAGAUCCGCGCACGUUUCAUUUUUUUUUGCUUGUUUUGUGCGCCUCGCACCACUGCUGCCCACAACCUCUUGGCCGGCAUGGCCUGUUGCCUGCCUCCCUCUGUGAGGAGGAGCACCUGAGCCUUUUCCGAGGGUUAGAGUGUGCACGGGCGGAG
rnacentral:misc_RNA from 1 species